rnacentral:rRNA from 1 species
UGCCAGCAGCCGCGGUAAUACGAAGGGGGCAAGCGUUAUUCGGAAUAACUGGGCGUAAAGAGCGUGCAGGUGGUUAUAUAAGUCAGUUGUUAAAGGUCACGGCCUACCCGUGAAGAUGCGAUUGAUACUGUAUGACUUGAGGGCGGAAGAGAGAAGUGGAAUUCUCGGAGUAGCGGUAAAAUGCGUAGAUCUCGAGAGGAACACCGAUUGCGAAGGCAGCUUCUUGGUCCGACCCUGACACUCAAGCGCGAAAGCGUGGGGAGCAAACAGGAUUAGAUA